UUUGCUGCUGGCCUAUGAUAGAGGUGAUGCUUGCGAUGGUGCUCUCCAUAGUUACUAUAUUCAUCAAAACCCCUAACUUUGGUUACCUCUUGCCUAUAUGGAAAACAAGUGGGGAGUAUGUCAAGAUCCAUCUUCUGGCCUAUGAGUCUCCAAACGAGCAUGUUUAACGAUUUAGAUAUCAAAUACCUUAAUAGGAGCAAUUUAUAUAGCUAGGAGAUGGUGGGAAGGAGGCCGAUGCUAGGGGCAGGGGGGCCAAAGAUGGGAAUGAGAGGCAAUAACAAGGAGGC
rnacentral:lncRNA from 1 species